GACGAACGCUGGCGGCGUGCCUAAUACAUGCAAGUUGAGCGAUGAAGAUUGGUGCUUGCACCAAUUUGAAGAGCAGCGAACGGGUGAGUAACGCGUGGGUAAUCUGCCUUUUAGCGGGGGACAACAUUUGGAAACGAAUGCUAAUACCGCAUAAUAACUUUAAACAUAAGUUUUAAGUUUGAAAGAUGCAAUUGCAUCACUCAAAGAUGAUCCCGCGUUGUAUUAGCUAGUUGGUGAGGUAAAGGCUCACCAAGGCGAUGAUACAUAGCCGACCUGAGAGGGUGAUCGGCCACAUUGGGAAUGAGACACGGCCCAAACGCCUACGGGAGGCAGCAGUAGGGAAUCUUCGGAAAUGGACGAAAGGCUGACCGAGCAACGCCGCGGGAGUGAAGAAGGGUUUCGGAUCGUAAAACUCUGUUGGUAGAGAAGAAAGUUGGUGAGAGUGGAAAGCUCAUCAAGUGACGGUAACUACACAGAAAGGGACGGCUAACUACGUG
rnacentral:rRNA from 1 species